rnacentral:rRNA from 1 species
AUUGAACGCUGGCGGCAGGCCUAACACAUGCAAGUCGAACGAGUGGCGGACGGGUGAGUAAUGUCUGUGACCCUGCCUGAUGGAUGGGGAUAACUACUGGAAACGGUAGCUAAUACCGCAUACCAUCGGAUGUGCCCUGGUGGGAUUAGCUAGUGGGUGGGGUAUAGGCUCACCUAGGCGACGAUCCCUAGCUGGUCUGAGAGGAUGACCAGGCACACUGGAACUGAGACACGGUGCAGACGCCUACGGGAGGAAGCAGUGGAGAAUAUUGGACAAUGGGCGCAAGCCCGAUGGAGCCAUGCCGCGUGGAUGAAGAAGGCCUGCGGGUUGUAAAGUACUUUCAGCGGGGAGGCGUUACCCGCAGAAGAAGCACCGGCUAACUCCGUGCCAGCAGCCGCGGUAAUUC